GAUCUUCUCCUUCAUGGGAGAUGAUUGAAAGAUGGUUUCGGCUAUCACUUACAGAUGGGCCCGCGGUGCAUUAGCUAGUUGGUGAGGUAACGGCUCACCAAGGCAACGAUGCAUAGCCGACCUGAGAGGGUGAUCGGCCACACUGGGACUGAGACACGGCCCAGACUCCUACGGGAGGCAGCAGUAGGGAAUCUUCCGCAAUGGACGAAAGUCUGACGGAGCAACGCCGCGUGAGUGAUGAAGGCUUUCGGGUCGUAAAACUCUGUUGUAUAGGGAAGAACAAGUACAAGAGUAACUGCUUGUACCUUGACGGUACCUAACCAGAAAGCCACGGCUAACUACGUGCCAGCAGCCGCGGUAAUACGUAGGUGGCAAGCGUUAUCCGUCGAAUUAUUGGGCGUAAAGCGCGCGCAGGCGGUUUCUUAAGUCUGAUGUGAAAGCCCACGGCUCAACCGUGGAGGGUCAUUGGAAACUGGGGAACUUGAGUGCAGAAGAGAAAAGCGGAAUUCCACGUGACUAGCGGUGACAAUGCGUAGAGAUGUGGAGGUAACACCAGUGGCGAAGGCGGCUUUUUGGUCUGUAACUGACGCU
rnacentral:rRNA from 2 species